UCAUCCUUGAUAACAUGU
rnacentral:piRNA from 1 species